rnacentral:rRNA from 1 species
ACGAUGAUGCCCAGCUUGCUGGGUGGAUUAGUGGCGAACGGGUGAGUAACACGUGAGUAACCUGCCCCUGACUCUGGGAUAAGCGUUGGAAACGACGUCUAAUACUGGAUAUGACUGCCGGCCGCAUGGUCUGGUGGUGGAAAGAUUUUUUGGUUGGGGAUGGACUCGCGGCCUAUCAGCUUGUUGGUGAGGUAAUGGCUCACCAAGGCGACGACGGGUAGCCGGCCUGAGAGGGUGACCGGCCACACUGGGACUGAGACACGGCCCAGACUCCUACGGGAGGCAGCAGUGGGGAAUAUUGCACAAUGGGCGAAAGCCUGAUGCAGCAACGCCGCGUGAGGGAUGACGGCCUUCGGGUUGUAAACCUCUUUUAGUAGGGAAGAAGCGAAAGUGACGGUACCUGCAGAAAAAGCACCGGCUAACUACGUGCCAGCAGCCGCGGUAAUACGUAGGGUGCAAGCGUUGUCCGGAAUUAUUGGGCGUAAAGAGCUCGUAGGCGGUUUGUCGCGUCUGCUGUGAAAUCCCGAGGCUCAACCUCGGGCUUGCAGUGGGUACGGGCAGACUAGAGUGCGGUAGGGGAGAUUGGAAUUCCUGGUGUAGCGGUGGAAUGCGCAGAUAUCAGGAGGAACACCGAUGGCGAAGGCAGAUCUCUGGGCCGUAACUGACGCUGAGGAGCGAAAGCAUGGGGAGCGAACAGGAUUAGAUACCCUGGUAGUCCAUGCCGUAAACGUUGGGCGCUAGAUGUAGGG